GAUGAACGCUGGCGGCGUGCUUAACACAUGCAAGUCGAACGGGAAAUACUUUAUUGAAACUUCGGUCGAUUUAAUUUAUUUCUAGUGGCGGACGGGUGAGUAACGCGUGGGUAACCUGCCUUAUACUGGGGGAUAACAGCCAGAAAUGGCUGCUAAUACCGCAUAAGCGCACAGGACCGCAUGGUUCGGUGUGAAAAACUCCGGUGGUAUAAGAUGGACCCGCGUUGGAUUAGCUAGUUGGCAGGGCAGCGGCCUACCAAGGCGACGAUCCAUAGCCGGCCUGAGAGGGUGAACGGCCACAUUGGGACUGAGACACGGCCCAGACUCCUACGGGAGGCAGCAGUGGGGAAUAUUGCACAAUGGGGGAAACCCUGAUGCAGCGACGCCGCGUGAAGGAAGAAGUAUCUCGGUAUGUAAACUUCUAUCAGCAGGGAAGAUAAUGACGGUACCUGACUAAGAAGCCCCGG
rnacentral:rRNA from 1 species